AUUCGGCUGUCGAGUUCCAGAUAUGACGAAACGCGCGUCUUGGAU
rnacentral:hammerhead_ribozyme from 1 species